GUGAUGAAAACGAAGCCUAAAUCUCAACUCUCUCCUUCUUUCUCUCACUGUGAUUGCGAUGAACCCUAUCAAAAUCACUAAUUCUUCAAUCGAUUUUCCAUCUUCUUCAUCUCUAUUUUCGUGUUCCAUAUCCGAGCAUUGUGUUCUUGUUGCAGUUGUAGAAGAACACGAAUUUAGCUCUCAAGAAUAGUUCGAAUUUGCGUGCACAAGGAGGAGAAGAAGAAAUAUUUUGAAUUUGCGGAUCUGAAGGAGAAGAUUGGUAGAUCCAGGACUCUUAGUGCUUUCAAUUUUGCCUAUAGAGACGAUUCUGGAAAGCUUGUCGACAGAACACAAUCUGAAGUUACACCAGUAGCUGAGAAUGUUGACAAAACACAAUCUCAAGUAUAUUUUUGUGGUUUUCAAUGUGAAUGUAUGGCUCUAUUUUGGGGAGUCCUGAUUUGGAAAAAAAGAAGGCUAAAGGAGUAUUGCUAGAAAGUGGACUUCCAUACACAUUAAGUCACUAUGAUACUAUGGUUUUACAGUGUUGGUGAUUGGAGCUAAUGUAAUGUAGGUUCUUUUUUGAAUGGGAACCCUAUAAAAGUAUCGUCACAAACUGAAUUGUUGAACUAUCUUCUUGCAACUGAGAAAGAUAAUACAGAGGGUUCGUAAGUUGAUCUUGAAGAAAUGUGCCGCAAAUAUUUAGUAACAUGGCGUUGAGCAAUGUAGAUGACAAGUGCAUAAAUCACAGAGUGACGGUUAUACUCCCUAUCAUCUUCUCAUAAUAUGGGCCUUGCAAAGUGCUCAUAAACGUGUCUACCAGUUCUUUUUCCAAUAGUGACGGUUCCACACGAGCGACCAAUUCUCUCCACCUCUGAGCGUACUCCUUGAAUGAUUCACUACUUUUCUGAGACAGAUUCUGUAAUUGCAUGCGGUUGGGAGCCAUGUCCAGGUUGUACUUGUAUUGUUUUAAGAAAGCAUCAAGGUCUUUCCAUGUCUGUAUCUGACUGCGCUCUAGCUGCAAAUACCAAUCCAAGAUGCCCCACUCAGACUAUCCUCAAAGACAUAGAUUAUAAGCAUCUCAUUAGUGGCGUAGCCGGCCAUCUUUUUGUAGAACAUUCUCAGGUGGUUCCUUGGACAGUGGAUCCCCUUGUAUUUCUCAAAUCUGGCACGUUGAAUUUUGGAGGGAUGGCCAUAUCUAGAAUUAAACACAUGUUCAUGGCAUCGACCCCAUACACACUGAAACCUUCCACGACCUUUAGUCUUUCUUCAAAAGCCCGGUACAUUUGAGCGGGUUCGACAUCCGGGCGGGCAUCGACGGUUGUUGAUUGGUUUGGCGCAUAACCUCCCAUAUCUUUGGUUGAAUGACAAGGUUGGGUAUUUCCAUCUUGGAGAGUAGGGUCUCCGUUUGCGACCGAUAUUACGCUAGAGGAAGGUCGUAUUCAAGCCAUUCUGUAUUCCUUUGUGGUUGAGGAGUACUUUCCUUGGUGGCCAAAGUUUGGAAAAGCUUAAGGAGCUUGUCCAUCUUCGCUUUUAUGGAGUUCACAUCUUCUCUCAAUGCGACUUGAUUUUGUUCUAAUUGGUCCAUAAUCCUCAAGCAGUUAGCGCGAGUCCCAUGAGAGUGUCGGAGAGCGGGCCUUGAGGGUAGCUGCUUUGCGGGUUUCAGGGCUAUUUUGAGCUUCCCGGAGUGUCGGAGGAGAAUGAAAUGAGUUGCUUUUUUUUAUUUAUUUUAGUAUUUUUUAUGCAAUUAUACGAGGGUGUAGAUGUAUGAGGAUGCAUUAAAAUGAAAGAGGAUGAAAAAUAUAUUUUAUUUUUA